GGGUCAAUGACGAGAACUCUUAUGGUCAUGAAGACAGAUGAGGACCAAAAAUGCUCAAUAAGAUUAUGCUGAGGCCC